rnacentral:rRNA from 1 species
GGGUUGUGAGGUUAAGCGACUAAGCGUACACGGUGGAUGCCCUGGCAGUCAGAGGCGAUGAAGGACGUGCUAAUCUGCGAAAAGCGUCGGUAAGGUGAUAUGAACCGUUAUAACCGGCGAUGUCCGAAUGGGGAAACCCAGUGUGAUUCGUCACACUAUCGUUAACUGAAUACAUAGGUUAACGAGGCGAACCGGGGGAACUGAAACAUCUAAGUACCCCGAGGAAAAGAAAUCAACCGAGAUUCCCCCAGUAGCGGCGAGCGAACGGGGAGCAGCCCAGAGUCUGAAUCAGCUUGUGUGUUAGUGGAACGGUCUGGAAAGUCCGACGGUACAGGGUGAUAGUCCCGUACACCAAAAUGCACAGGUUGUGAACUCGAAGAGUAGGGCGGGACACGUGGUAUCCUGUCUGAAUAUGGGGGGACCAUCCUCCAAGGCUAAAUACUCCUGACUGACCGAUAGUGAACCAGUACCGUGAGGGAAAGGCGNNAAAAGAACCCCGGCGAGGGGAGUGAAAAAGAACCUGAAACCGUGUACGUACAAGCAGUGGGAGCACCUUCGGGUGUGACUGCGUACCUUUUGUAUAAUGGGUCAG